rnacentral:rRNA from 1 species
AGGACGAACGCUGGCGGCGUGCUUAACACAUGCAAGUCGAACGGUGAAGCCCCUUCGGGGGUGGAUCAGUGGCGAACGGGUGAGUAACACGUGAGCAACCUGCCCUUGACUCUGGGAUAACUCCGGGAAACCGGAGCUAAUACCGGAUACGACACGCGAAGGCAUCUUCUGCGUGUGGAAAGAUUUAUCGGUCAAGGAUGGGCUCGCGGCCUAUCAGCUUGUGGUGGGGUAAAGCCUACCAAGGCGACGACGGGUAGCCGGCCUGAGAGGGCGACGGCCAACGACGUGGACUGAGACACGGCCAGACUCCUACGGGAGGCAGCAGUGGGGAAUAUGCGCAAUGGGCGAAAGCCUGACGCAGCGACGCGCGUGAGGAUGAAGGCUUCGGGUUAGUAAACCUCUUCAGUCAGGGAAGAGACGAAAG